rnacentral:rRNA from 1 species
AGUGAACGCUGGCGGCGUGCCUAAUACAUGCAAGUCGAACGGAGUGGAGCACGGGUGAGUAAUAUAUAGCUAAUAUGCCCUUUGCUGGCGGACAACAGUAAGAAAUGACUGCUAAUACUCCAUAGCAAGGGAUGAGACUAUAUCGUAUCAGCAAUUCGGUGGGGUAACGGCCUACCGAGGCGAUGACGCGUCACUGGUCUGCGAGGAUGAUCAGGCACAUUGGAACUGAGACACGGUCCGAACUCCUACGGGAGGCAGCAGUAGGGAAUAUGGCGCAAUGGGGGAAACCCUGACGCAGCAACGCCGCGUGGAGGAUGACACUUUUCGGAGCGUAAACUCCUUUUGUUAGGGAAGCGGUACCUAACGAAUAAGCACCGGCUAACUCCGUGCCAGCCGCCGCGGUAAUUC